GUGAGGAAUAUUGUGCAAUGGACGAAAGUCUGACGCAGCCAUGCCGCGUGAAGGAUUGACGGCCCUAUGGGUUGUAAACUUCUUUUGUAUAGGAAUAAACCCUCGUUCGUGAACGAGGCUGAAGGUACUAUAAGAAUAAGCACCGGCUAACUCCGUGCCAGCAGCCGCGGUAAUACGGAGGGUGCUAGCGUUAUCCGGAUUUAUUGGGUUUAAAGGGUCCGUAGGCGGAUCGUUAAGUCAGUGGUGAAAUCCUACCGCUCAACGGUAGAACUGCCAUUGAUACUGGCGAUCUUGAGUAUGUAUGAAGUUGGCAGAAUGUGUGGUGUAGCGGUGAAAUGCUUAGAGAUCACACAGAACACCGAUUGCGAAGGCAGCUGACUAAUACACAACUGACGCUGAGGGACGAAAGUGUGGGGAUCAAACAGGAUUAGAAACCCUGGUAGUCC
rnacentral:rRNA from 1 species